AAGGGGUCUCAUCAGCAGAACCAGAUAAAAUCUCUAAGAAAAUAUCUUUCCACAAGCGCAACGAUGCUCACUCGGGCGAGCUUGACGUGUUCGAGGCCGCCAUGUACUUCUCCGGCUACAACGAGUUCUCCUCCUGCGACCAUAGACACUCACAUAAGCAUGGCUAUAACGCCGCAAGAGAGGAGAAUCGAAGGAGAUGGGGAAUAUUAGGAGGAGGCAGAAGAAUAAGCUUGGAUUUGCCGAUUAGAUGUUCAGAGCAGGUGCAUCAUCUUCACCAAGACCAUCUUGAGAAGCCAGAAGUCAAAGCAAUCAAAGAGAGGACUAGUAACGUGAGAUACAAGCAACCAAGCUCACCGGGUGGGAAAAUCGUCAGCUUCUUGAACUCUUUGUUUCAUCAAGCGGGUUCGAAGAAGAACAAGUCGAAGUCAAAGCCAACGGAACGAGAAGUCGAAGAGGAGAUCCAUGGAGGAGGAUGGAUGAGGAGGAGGAGGAG
rnacentral:lncRNA from 1 species